rnacentral:rRNA from 1 species
AUUGAACGCUGGCGGCAGGCCUAACACAUGCAAGUCGAGCGGAUGAAGGGAGCUUUCUCCUGGAUUCAGCGGCGGACGGGUGAGUAAUUCCUAGGAAUCUGCCUGGUAGUUGGGGAUAACGUCCGGAAACGGGCGCUAAUACCGCAUACGUCCUGAGGGAGAAAGUGGGGGAUCUUCGGACCACACGCUAUCAGAUGAGCCUAGGUCGGAUUAGCUAGUUGGUUGGGUAAAGGCCUACCAAGGCGACGAUCCGUAACUGGUCUGAGAGGAUGAUCAGCCACACUGGAACUGAGACACGGUCCAGACUCCUACGGGAGGCAGCAGUGGGGAAUAUUGGACAAUGGGCGAAAGCCUGAUCCAGCCAUGCCGCGUGUGUGAAGAAGGUCUUCGGAUUGUAAAGCACUUUAAGUUGGGAGGAAGGGCAGUAAGUUAAUCCCUUGCUGUUUUGACGUUACCAAAAGAAUAAGCACCGGCUAACUUCGUG